ACUACGCUGAGAUUCAGAUUUUUCCAUCCCAGAACAGUUCCCUACCGAGUGGAAGCACGAAAGACAUUAUCAAAGCUGAAAGCUACUUGAUUAUAAGCAGAGGCUGGAGCAGGGGCUGAAGGUUGUUUGCGGUGGUUGAGGGUUGUCUGGCAUGCGAGGAACUCGAGAGUAAUGGUAUUUGUUAGGUUCUUAGAUUUAGUUAAUAGUUUUU